rnacentral:rRNA from 1 species
CCCGCACAAGCGGCGGAGCAUGCGGAUUAAUUCGAUGCAACGCGAAGAACCUUACCAAGGCUUGACAUACACCGGAAACGGCCAGAGAUGGUCGCCCCCUUGUGGUCGGUGUACAGGUGGUGCAUGGUUGUCGUCAGCUCGUGUCGUGAGAUGUUGGGUUAAGUCCCGCAACGAGCGCAACCCUCGUUCUAUGUUGCCAGCGGGUCAUGCCGGGGACUCAUAGGAGACUGCCGGGGUCAACUCGGAGGAAGGUGGGGAUGACGUCAAAUCAUCAUGCCCCUUAUGUCUUGGGCUUCACGCAUGCUACAAUGGCCGGUACAAAGGGCUGCGAUACCGUAAGGUGGAG